ensembl:snRNA U2 U2 spliceosomal RNA
AUCGCUUCUCAGCCUUUCGGCUAAGAUCAUGUGUAGUAUCUGUUUUUAUCAGUUUAAUAUCUGAUACGUCGUCUAUGUGAGGACUUUGGGUCAGUGGGUAAUGGUCU